AGCAAAAUGAUGAAGAAUUAUUUUUUGUCUGAAACUGAUGUUGAUCUCUUGUUUCAUACAAGCCUUCAAAGUUCUCUGAUUGCU
rnacentral:snoRNA from 1 species